UCACCACUCAUUCGCAAACUACUAAAUUCCUUAGAGAAAUCGCUAGAAGUCUAGAAGGAGCUUUCGGGAAGUUCUCGAGAUCGAGCAGCCUUAGCCUUAGAUCUGUGAGUUUCUGGUCGUGUGAAGUAGCACACAAUUUGGAAUUUAUUUAUUUAAGUUAUUUAUUUAAAUUUUUCAUGAGGUUAUGCUUUUAUACUUUGUAAAAAUUAUGCAUACUUUCUAGUUUAGCUUAUUAUACGUUAUAAACAUAUGAUUAGCACACUGAUCUGUCUAGAUCUUGCAUUUCUGUUCGAUUAUAUAAUAGUUGAGGUUAUGUUGGUCGAUUCUAUAACCGUUAUGCUGCCCGUAUAACCGUUAUGUUUCCAACAUGACCAUUAGGCUGUUCGUAUAGUUGUUAUAAUACCGUUUUAGCUGUUAGGCUACCGGCAUUAUCUUGGUUUACAUAGUUUCUUCUUAUGCAUGGGUUGAUUGUUUGUUGAAUGCUUGUUUAACAUUCUUUGUGGUCUUGCUUUAGUUGAUUGUUAUAUGGUAGUAGUUGCUAGUAGGAACUUUUUGAGUACUUCAUACUCGUAGUGUUAUUAAGUUAGUAUGAAGCGAUUCUUCUGGUUAUCCCAUCGGCUCGAAGUGGAUCGCAACCAUCAAGCAAUGUCUGACGGGAGAUCAGAAUCGCAGGAAGGCCUUAACGGGAGAUCAGAAUCGCAGGAAGGCCUAACGGGAGAUCAGAAUCGCAGGAAGGCCUUAGAGAGUGAAGAUGAAGAUUAGCAUGCUAGAUUUGAUUGUUUUGUUCUAUGCGGCUGUUAUGUCGCAUUUUUUAUUGUCAUUGUUAUCUUAUAUGUGUUUGGAGGUCGGGUAGGGGAUUCCUAAUGUUUAGAGACCCCGGACUCACUGAGUAAUCUUAAAUUACUCAUGAUGGUACUUAUUUUGUUUUACAGGUAACCAGUAGAAGGGUAACUUAGAGGGAGCUAGGACGUUAAGCAAAGCCAGUGUAGGUUUCAUGUCUUUUUGUAAAAUAAUUCUGUUUGAAUAAGGCUUCGAAAGUUUCUUUUGGAGACUAGCUCCCGGCCGAAAAUCUUAGGAUGUUUUAUGUGUAAUAUUAUAUUUCUUCGAAUAUUUUAUGUAAAAUAAAGCUUGUUUUAUAUUCGGAGCUGUUCUUAAAUGAUUAUAGUCUUGUCCGGACCGUCCUAACACUUAUUCACGGUUAAGGUUGGCAAGCCCGAACCCGUUAUGUAGUGGGAUGUGCAUGCGGAACGGACGAUCGGGGUAUCGAAUUCGUUUUGAUAACCUCUGUUGACUGUCCGCGAGUAUCAUCACGUAGCAUUCUCAGCCGUCUUAUUUAUAGACUGGUUCGGGGGUGUUACAACUAGGCUACUCAAUAACACACAAUUAAGUUAUUCCCUAGAUAAUGAACUCAUAAGCUAGCCUAUCCAAUGUCUUGGGAGAGAUUAUUAAUCUUAAGUCACUUCCCAAUCUCAAAUGUUGUUCAUGAAACAUGAAAUAAGCAGGCAUUAAACAAAAGUUCAUUAUUGUCAAAAUACAUUCUAGUCAACCAAUAUCUUGGGCAUAGACACAUAAGUCCCUGGCAUUAUAGGAUCAGACAUUUUAUCGACCACCUUUCGGGCGUGAAAGUCUCGGAUCUAAUCUCCAAAUGAUCAGUAAGGGAUUAGCAUUAUAUACACUAAUCAUGAAUGGAAUUUAAGGCAGAUCUACUCUACAUCAACCUAGAUCAUAUAGGUAGAAUUGUUUAGAUUUCCUUCUGGAUUAGUGUAUAUAACACUAAUCCCGCUCUGAUCAAGUGGUGAUUAGCUUUCAGGCUUCCACGCCCGAGAGGUUUUCGAUGGAAUGCUGGAUAAUCUAAUACCACCAAAUUUCAUGUCUAGCCCAAGAGAUUGGUUGUCUAGAAUGUUAUUUUACAUUAAUGAGUUGACUCUUAAUGCCUAUUCAUUUCAUGUUUCAUCAACCAGAAGUUGAGAUUAGGAAGUGAUUUGAGUUUGAUAGCCUUUGUCAAGAGAUUGAACUGGUUAGCUUAUGAGCUUGUUGUCUAGGAAGCAUCACUGUCUGUGUUUGAUUGAUUUAGCAACCUAGUGAACUUAAAGAUCUCCAUUGAAGUCACCAUCUCAUCCCCAGAACCUCCAUUUAAUUGAUUGAUUUACCUUGUUUCAUUUCUGUUCUUGCAUUUCUAGUUCACUUAAUGUUAUUGUUUCUGUAGUUUUAUUUAUGUUUUAGUUUAAUGUUGUGUCUUACUAGAUUUCAGUUCAGUAGUUGAUAGUUUAAAACAUUUCUUGCUUGGCUUUACUUGUUAAACAUUGAUUGCAUAUAAACUGGGUGCACGCGUCCUUAUGGAUCAAUAAAGCCUUUUAUACUAUAAUUAUACUGGGUUUGAUACCAUUAGCACCAAAAAACUUGUUAUCAGUUGGGAUGAGACAUUCGCAGCAAUCACAAUGCUUACGGGGGAUGCAAAUAGGUCUAUCUUGCUUUGCCUUUGCUUCCAAUUGGCGCUCUACUCCAUCUGGCGGGAACGUAAUGCUCGCAUACAUGGUACAACCUAUAAUUUGGUUCCUCGACUUCUCUGGAACAUUGACAAGCUAAUCCGUAACCGCAUCACGUCUUUGGACUAUUCGAAGAAACUACGUCUGCAACUUUGUCUCCCUCUCAUUAAAACUGUUAAUUUUCAUGCUCUUUUUGCUUUGAUUCAUUGCUUAUUGUACUUGGUC
rnacentral:lncRNA from 1 species